rnacentral:rRNA from 1 species
UACGUAGGGUGCAAGCGUUGUCCGGAAUUAUUGGGCGUAAAGAGCUCGUAGGCGGUCUGUUACGUCUGCUGUGAAAACCCAGGGCUUAACCCUGGGCUUGCAGUGGAUACGGGCAGACUAGAGGCAGGUAGGGGAGAAUGGAAUUCCCGGUGUAGCGGUGAAAUGCGCAGAUAUCGGGAGGAACACCGGUGGCGAAGGCGGUUCUCUGGGCCUGACCUGACGCUGAGGAGCGAAGCGUGGGGAGCGAAACAGGAUUG